rnacentral:rRNA from 1 species
UACGUAGGGUGCAAGCGUUGUCCGGAAUUAUUGGGCGUAAGAGCUACGUAGGCGGUCUGUCGCGUCGGCUGUGAAAUCCCGAGGCUCAACCUCGGGUCUGCAGUCGAUACGGGCAAACUAGAGUAUUGCAGGGGAGACUGGAAUUCCCGGUGUAGCAGUGAAAUGCGUAGAGAUCGGGAGGAACACCAGUGGCGAAGGCGGCUACCUGGACCAGCACUGACACUGAGGCACGGAAAGCGAUGGGGAGCAAACAGGG